UACGGAGGGUGCUAGCGUUGUUCGGAAUCACUGGGCGUAAAGCGCACGUAGGCGGCUACUCAAGUCAGAGGUGAAAGCCCGGGGCUCAACCCCGGAACUGCCUUUGAAACUAGGUGGCUAGAAUCUUGGAGAGGCGAGUGGAAUUCCGAGUGUAGAGGUGAAAUUCGUAGAUAUUCGGAAGAACACCAGUGGCGAAGGCGACUCGCUGGACAAGUAUUGACGCUGAGGUGCGAAAGCGUGGGGAGCAAACAGG
rnacentral:rRNA from 1 species